rnacentral:rRNA from 1 species
GAUGAACGCUGGCGGCGUGCCUAAUACAUGCAAGUCGAGCGAACGGACGAGAAGCUUGCUUUUCUGAUGUUAGCGGCGGACGGGUGAGUAACACGUGGAUAACCUACCUAUAAGACUGGGAUAACUUCGGGAAACCGGAGCUAAUACCGGAUAAUAUUUUGAACCGCAUGGUUCAAAAGUGAAAGACGGUCUUGCUGUCACUUAUAGAUGGAUCCGCGCUGCAUUAGCUAGUUGGUAAGGUAACGGCUUACCAAGGCAACGAUGCAUAGCCGACCUGAGAGGGUGAUCGGCCACACUGGAACUGAGACACGGUCCAGACUCCUACGGGAGGCAGCAGUAGGGAAUCUUCCGCAAUGGGCGAAAGCCUGACGGAGCAACGCCGCGUGAGUGAUGAAGGUCUUCGGAUCGUAAAACUCUGUUAUUAGGGAAGAACAUAUGUGUAAGUAACUGUGCACAUCUUGACGGUACCUAAUCAGAAAGCCACGGCUAACUACGUGCCAGCAGCCGCGGUAAUACGUAGGUGGCAAGCGUUAUCCGGAAUUAUUGGGCGUAAAGCGCGCGUAGGCGGUUUUUUAAGUCUGAUGUGAAAGCCCACGGCUCAACCGUGGAGGGUCAUUGGAAACUGGAAAACUUGAGUGCAGAAGAGGAAAGUGGAAUUCCAUGUGUAGCGGUGAAAUGCGCAGAGAUGUGGAGGAACACCAGUGGCGAAGGCGACUUUCUGGUCUGUAACUGACGCUGAUGUGCGAAAGCGUGGGGAUCAAACAGGAUUAGAUACCCUGGUAGUCCACGCCGUAAACGAUGAGUGCUAAGUGUUAGGGGGUUUCCGCCCCUUAGUGCUGCAGCUAACGCAUUAAGCACUCCGCCUGGGGAGUACGACCGCAAGGUUGAAACUCAAAGGAAUUGACGGGGGCCCGCACAAGCGGUGGAGCAUGUGGUUUAAUUCGAAGCAACGCGAAGAACCUUACCAAAUCUUGACAUCCUUUGACAACUCUAGAGAUAGAGCCUUCCCCUUCGGGGGACAAAGUGACAGGUGGUGCAUGGUUGUCGUCAGCUCGUGUCGUGAGAUGUUGGGUUAAGUCCCGCAACGAGCGCAACCCUUAAGCUUAGUUGCCAUCAUUAAGUUGGGCACUCUAAGUUGACUGCCGGUGACAAACCGGAGGAAGGUGGGAUGACGUCAAAUCAUCAUGCCCCUUAUGAUUUGGGCUACACACGUGCUACAAUGGACAAUACAAAGGGCAGCGAAACCGCGAGGUCAAGCAAAUCCCAUAAAGUUGUUCUCAGUUCGGAUUGUAGUCUGCAACUCGACUACAUGAAGCUGGAAUCGCUAGUAAUCGUAGAUCAGCAUGCUACGGUGAAUACGUUCCCGGGUCU